rnacentral:rRNA from 1 species
CCUACGGGAGGCAGCAGUGAGGAAUAUUGGUCAAUGGACGAGAGUCUGAACCAGCCAAGUAGCGUGAAGGAUGACUGCCCUAUGGGUUGUAAACUUCUUUUAUAAAGGAAUAAAACGAGGCACGUGUGCCUUUUUGCAUGUACUUUAUGAAUAAGGCACGGCAAACUCCGUGCCAGCAGCCGCGGUAAUACGGGGGAUCCGAGGGUUAUCCGGAUUUAUUGGGUUUAAAGGGUGCGCAGGCGGAGGCACAAGUCAGCGGUAAAAUGGCGGGGCUCAACCCCGGUCCGCCGUUGAAACUGUGUCCCUUGAGUGCGGGAGGGGUAGGCGGAAUGCGUGGUGUAGCGGUGAAAUGCAUAGAUAUCACGCAGAACUCCGAUCGCGAAGGCAGCCUACCGGCGCGCAACUGACGCUGAGGCACGAAAGCGUGGGUAUCGAACAGGAUUAGAUACCCGGGUAGUC